rnacentral:snRNA from 1 species
UAACUUACUUGGCGCGGAGGACACCGUGAUCACGAAGGCGGUUCCUCCUGGGCGAGGUCCUUCCAUUGCACCCGGGUCGGGCUGAACCUUGCGAGUACUCCUAACGUGGGUAUGUCGAGCGCACAAUUUUUGGCAGUCGGGACAAGCGUUCGCGCUGUCCCGGA